GACGAACGCUGGCGGCGUGCUUAACACAUGCAAGUCGAACGGAAAGGCCCUGCUUUUGUGGGGUGCUCGAGUGGCGAACGGGUGAGUAACACGUGAGUAACCUGCCCUUGACUUUGGGAUAACUUCAGGAAACUGGGGCUAAUACCGGAUAGGAGCUCCUGCUGCAUGGUGGGGGUUGGAAAGUUUCGGCGGUUGGGGAUGGACUCGCGGCUUAUCAGCUUGUUGGUAGGGUAGUGGCUUACCAAGGCUUUGACGGGUAGCCGGCCUGAGAGGGUGACCGGCCACAUUGGGACUGCGAUACGGCCCAGACUCCUACGGGAGGCAGCAGUGGGGAAUAUUGCACAAUGGGCGGAAGCCUGAUGCAGCAACGCCGCGUGCGGGAUGACGGCCUUCGGGUUGUAAACCGCUUUCGCCUGUGACGAAGCGUGAGUGACGGUAAUGGGUAAAGAAGCACCGGCUAACUACGUG
rnacentral:rRNA from 1 species